rnacentral:rRNA from 1 species
AUGGUCGCCAUGGACGCCAGCGCUGCACCUGCACCGCCGGUUGGUACUCCCCGACACCGUUCGGGCCCUCCUGCACUGCAUCACCCUCCUACCGCGCCUACUAGACCUACAGGAAGUGCUCAUGUAUCAAAUUCCAGUUGUUACUCAACCUGUAGUGGAUUCCAUUUGCUGAAGAUAUCGUCCAUUGUCACCAGUGUCUCCUUCUAUCUGGCCUUCAUGGAUCAGUGGUUCAACCCUUCUCCUCCUUACUUUCACUAUUCUUCUAUUCUAGAUACACAUACUGAUGGCAGAAGAGCGCCUAUAAUACAGUUUGGUCCCUUUAGAUAA